AGCGAACGCUGGCGGCAGGCUUAACACAUGCAAGUCGAACGGGCGUAGCAAUACGUCAGUGGCAGACGGGUGAGUAACGCGUGGGAACGUACCUUUUGGUUCGGAACAACACAGGGAAACUUGUGCUAAAUACCGGAUAAGCCCUUACGGGGAAAGAUUUAUCGCCGAAAGAUCGGCCCGCGUCUGAUUAGCUAGUUGGUGAGGUAAUGGCUCACCAAGGCGACGAUCAGUAGCUGGUCUGAGAGGAUGAUCAGCCACACUGGGACUGAGACACGGCCCAGACUCCUACGGGAGGCAGCAGUGGGGAAUAUUGGACAAUGGGGGCAACCCUGAUCCAGCCAUGCCGCGUGAGUGAUGAAGGCCCUAGGGUUGUAAAGCUCUUUGUGCGGGAAGAUAAUGACGGUACGCAAGAAUAAGCCCGGCUAACUUCGUG
rnacentral:rRNA from 1 species